GCAGUCGAACGAGGAGCCAUUGUAUUCGUACGGUGGAUUUCCUAGUGGCGAAUGGGAAGAGUAACGCGUUGGUGACCUGCCCCAAAGAGAGGGAUAACAGUUCGAAAGGACUGCUAAUACUUCAUGUGGUCACGGAGACUAGAGGCUCUGUGUCUAAAGGAGCAAUCCACUUUGGGAGGGGCCUGCGUCCCAUCAGCUAGUUGGUAGGGUAAUGGCCUACCAAGGCGACGACGGGUAGGGGGCCUGAGAGGGUGAUCCCCCACACUGGCACUGAAACACGGGCCAGACACCUACGGGUGGCAGCAGUAGGGAAUAUUGCACAAUGGGCGAAAGCCUGACGCAGCAACGCCGCGUGCACGAUGAAGGCCUUCGGGUCGUAAAGUGCUUUUCGGGGAGAUGAGGAAGGACAGUAUCCCCGGAAUAAGGAUCGGCUAACUACGUGCCAGCAGCCGCGGUAAAACGUAGGAUCCGAGCGUUAUCCGAAUUUACUGGGCGUAAAGCGCGUGCAGGCGGUUUGGUAAGUUGGAUGUGAAAGCUCCCGGCUCAACUGGGAGAGGUCGUUCAAUACUGCCAGACUUGAGGAUGGUAGAGGGAGGUGGAAUUCCCGGUGUAGUGGUGAAAUGCGUAGAUAUCGGGAGGAACACCAGUGGCGAAGGCGGCCUCCUGGGCCAUUCCUGACGCUCAGACGCGAAAGCUAGGGUAGCAAACGGGAUUAGAAACCCCGGUAGUCCUAGCUGUAAACGAUGUGGACUUGGCGUUGGUGG
rnacentral:rRNA from 1 species